rnacentral:sRNA from 1 species
GCUGGGUGUGGUGGCACACACCUGUAAUCCCAGUGGCUUGGGAGGCCGAGGUAGGAGGAUUACAAGUUCAAGGUCACCCCAGCAACUAAGUAAGGUCCUAAGAAACUUAGUGAGACCCUGAUUCAA